ACCACGCCGAGUCCCAACAGCCACCCUCCUGCAACAAAAAGGUAAGAAACAGGAGAGUGGCUGAAAAAUGAGAUGUGUAUGUAUGUCUGUAUGUAUGUCUGUCUGUAUUUAUUACUGGUAUUUAUAAAGCACCAACAGAUUCCGCAGCGAUGUAGAAUUAGUGGAGAACGUAUAAUAUACACAGACAUACAAGAGGUAAUGUAUGCCUGUAUGAAUGAAUGUAUGUCU